rnacentral:rRNA from 1 species
UGCAAGUCGAACGGUGUCUUCGGACAUAGUCGGCAGACGGGAUGAGUAACGCGUGAGAAUCUGCCUUUUGGUUGGGGACAACAGUUGGAAACGGCUGCUAAUACCCAAUGUGCCUAAGGGUGAAAGCUUUAGUGCCAGAAGAGGAGCUCGCGUCAGAUUAGCUAGUUGGUGGGGUAAAGGCCUACCAAGGCGACGAUCUGUAGCUGGUCUGAGAGGAUGACCAGCCACACUGGGACUGAGACACGGCCCAGACUCCUACGGGAGGCAGCAGUGGGGAAUUUUCCGCAAUGGGCGCAAGCCUGACGGAGCAAUACCGCGUGAGGGACGAAGGUUUUUGGAUUGUAAACCUCUUUUCUCAGGGAAGAACACAAUGACGGUACCUGAGGAAUAAGCAUCGGCUAACUCUGUGCCAGCA